rnacentral:rRNA from 1 species
GAUUUACACCCACAGGUGAUCUGCUGGAAUGUUCAAGACUUGAACAAUCCAGCUAAAUGCAAGGCGGUGUGGGAGUUCGUGAGUACUCUUGAGGUCAACCUAGCUUGCUUGCAAGAAACGAAGUUGGAUGUAAUAGACAGAUAUCUAGUUGUGCAAUGUUUGGGACCAUCUUUCGAUGGUUUUGCUUACCUGCCGGCUAUCAAAACUAGAGGGGGUGUGCUUCUUGCGUGGAAGAGAUCGGAUUUGGAGGUGGAGGCCAUACAGAUCGACACUAACUUCUUGACAGGUCGUGUGCACACAAAAACUAGUGAUCCUUGGUGGAUCUCUAUGGUGUACGGACCGCAAAGCGACAAGCAGAAGUGCAUCUUCCUGGAAGAGUUUAGGUCAAGGCGAGCGAUAUGCCCGGUCGCGUGGCUCGUCCUUGCAGAUUUCAACAUGAUCCUUUGCACCUCGAAAAAGAGUAAUACUAACCUAAACAAGAACAUGGUGAACAAAUUCAGAGAGUUUAUGGACGAUCAGCAACUGUGCGAGAUGUACAUGCACGGGAGAAAAUAUACAUGGUCGAACGAGAGGGACUCGCCCACCCUCACUAAAAUAUAUAGAGUCCUCAUGACAGUUGACUAG